rnacentral:rRNA from 1 species
AUGUCGCGGGAGCAGGCGGCUGUCGUCAGGUCUCAGGAGGCCGCGCGGUGGUCGCCGUACCACGCGCCGGACGAGGAGGAGUCGGAGAUCGUGGCGCAGUUCCUGACGGCGCCGUACCCGUGCUUCGACGGCGGCUGCUGCAGCUACGACUUCCUCGGCGAGCCCGACGUGUCGCUCGGGAUCAACACGCUCUCCUACUGCGGCAGCGGGUCCAGCAGCUCCACCAUCGACCUCAACCUCUCCGGGGAGGAGGAGGAGAGGAUCAGUAAGCGUGCCGUCCCUUCGCCCGCCGGCUACCUCCUCAGCGACCGCAAUGGCGACGGUGCCGCCGCAACGCCGAAGCGGAAGGUUUUUCAGGCCGGCCAUGAUCAGGGAGGGGAUCUCGGACGGCACAAGAAGAAGGCUCGUGCUGCGGAUCACAAGGGGAUCAAGUCUGUAACAUGCAAGACGGUGCAGAAGCAGAGACCUAGCAGCAGCUACUUCUCGGACGAGUCCAAUUGCUCCCAGGGGAACCGCGCCGAGGAGGCCAACGUCGCCGGCGGCGGCACCAUGAAGGCGCGGGCCGGCCGCGGGUCUGCGGCCGAUCCCCAGAGCCUCUAUGCGAAGAGAAGAAGGGAGAGAAUCAACGACAGACUCCGAGUCUUGCAGAAGCUGGUGCCCAACGGAACCAAAGUGGAUCUCAGCACUAUGCUGGAGGAGGCAGUCCUCUACGUCAAGUUCUUGCAGCUACAGAUCAAGGUGCUGAGUUCUGACGAGAUGUGGAUGUACGCGCCGCUCGCUUACAGCGGCAUGAGCUUCGGAAUCGAUCUGAGGAUCACCCCUCAGUGA